CUAAAUUGUCUUAUAUAUUCCCAUAUUCUCUUCUCCUUAGAGAAACAACAACGUUUACAUGGGGUUCAAAGAGCAAACUUGACUCUCUUUUAGUUCAAAAUUGGGUCCAUGUUUUCGGGGCCAAUGGUCACCAAGAGUUCAUGACAUUGUCAUUCGACUGCUUCAAAAAUUUCGGAUCUUUCUGCUCAGCUCAUGCAGCUUGCGAUUACCAAAGGUGCCGU
rnacentral:lncRNA from 1 species